GACGAACGCUGGCGGCGUGCUUAACACAUGCAAGUCGAACGGAAAGGCCCUGCUUUUGUGGGGUGCUCGAGUGGCGAACGGGUGAGUAACACGUGUGUAACCUGCCCUUGACUUUGGGAUAACUUCAGGAAACUGGAGCUAAUACCGGAUAGGAGCUCCUGCUGCAUGGUGGGGGUUGGAAAGUUUCGGCGGUUGGGGAUGGACUCGCGGCUUAUCAGCUUGUUGGUGGGGUAGUGGCUUACCAAGGCUUUGACGGGUAGCCGGCCUGAGAGGGUGACCGGCCACAUUGGGACUGAGAUACGGACCAGACUCCUACGGGAGGCAGCAGUGGGGAAUAUUGCACAAUGGGCGGAAGCCUGAUGCAGCAACGCCGCGUGCGGGAUGACGGCCUUCGGGUUGUAAACCGCUUUCGCCUGUGACGAAGCGUGAGUGACGGUAAUGGGUAAAGAAGCACCGGCUAACUACGUG
rnacentral:rRNA from 1 species